ensembl:rRNA 5S_rRNA 5S ribosomal RNA
GCCCACUGCCAUACCAUCCCGAAUGUACUUGAUCCCAUCUGAUCUCCAAAGCUAAGCAGAACGGUUCAAUACACACUCUGUACCAGGUGUGGAUC